UACGUAGGUGGUAAGCGUUGUCCGGAAUUAUUGGGCGUAAAGCGCGCGCAGGUGAUUCUUUAAGUCUGAUGUGAAAGCCCACGGCUCAACCGUGGAAGGUCAUUGGAAACUGGGGAACUUGAGUGCAGAAGAGGAAAGUGGAAUUCCAAGUGUAGCGGUGAAAUGCGUAGAUAUUUGGAGGAACACCAGUGGCGAAGGCGACUUUCUGGUCUGUAACUGACACUGAGGCGCGAAAGCGUGGGGAGCAAACAGG
rnacentral:rRNA from 1 species